rnacentral:rRNA from 1 species
CAACUUUUAACAAUGGAUCUCUUGGUUCUGGCAUCGAUGAAGAACGCAGCGAAAUGCG